rnacentral:rRNA from 1 species
AGAGUUUGAUCAUGGCUCAGAGCGAACGCUGGCGGCGUGCUUAACACAUGCAAGUCGAACGUGAAAGUAGCAAUAUGAGUAAAGUGGCGUACGGGUGAGUAACACGUGGGUAAUCUACCUUAGAGUCUGGAAUAACCUGCCGAAAGGCGGGCUAAUACUGGAUAGAUCAAGCGCAUUAUAAAGGUGCGAUUGGGAAAGGGAGCUCGCAAGAGCCUUCGCUUUAAGAUGAGCCCGCGUCUGAUUAGCUAGUUGGUAAGGUAAUGGCUUACCAAGGCGACGAUCAGUAGCUGGUCUGAGAGGAUGAUCAGCCACACUGGAACUGAAACACGGUCCAGACUCCUACGGGAGGCAGCAGUGGGGAAUCUUGCGCAAUGGACGAAAGUCUGACGCAGCCACGCCGCGUGAGUGAAGAAGGCCUUCGGGUUGUAAAGCUCUGUCGGAGGGGACAAAAAACACUUAGGUUAAUAGCCUAGGUGCUUGAUGGUACCCUUAAAGGAAGCACCGGCUAACUUCGUGCCAGCAGCCGCGGUAAUACGAAGGGUGCAAGCGUUGCUCGGAAUUAUUGGGCGUAAAGGGUAGGUAGGUGGUUACGUAUGUCUGGGGUGAAAUCCCUGAGCUCAACUCAGGAAGUGCCUUGGAAACGGCGUAACUAGAGUGCUAGAGAGGUUCGGAAUUCCCAGUGUAGCGGUGAAAUGCGUAGAGAUUGGGAGGAACACCAGAGGCGAAGGCGGCGAACUGGAUAGCAACUGACACUGAACUACGAAAGCGUGGGUAGCAAACAGGAUUAGAUACCCUAGUAGUCC